rnacentral:rRNA from 1 species
CCAGACGGCUGAACCAGCAACUUGGAAGAAUGAAUAACGAAUAAGUCGUAUAAAAUUCUAGAUAGAAAACAGAUAAUGACAAAGAUCUAUCUAUUAGUCUUGACCAAAUUACGUGCCAGCAGUCGCGGCAACACGCAGAAGACAAGUGUUAUUCAUCUUUAUUCGGUAUAAAGGGUACCUAGACGGGAAAUAAAGCCAUGGUAGGGACUAAUUUUCUAGAGUUUUAUGGGAGAAAGUCGAAUAUCUGGAGUAGAGAUACAAUAUGUUGAUACUGGGUAGACGGUUAACGGCGUAGGCAACUUUCUAUGUAAAAACUGACGUUGAGGGACGAAGCCCUGGGUAACGAGAAGGAUUAGAUACCCCAGUAGUCCAGGGAGACAAUGAUGAGUGCCAUAGGCUAGAAAUAUUAGUCUAUAAAUGAAAGUGUAAGCAUUCCACCUCAAGACUAAAGCGGCAACGCCCAAAUUGAAAUCAUUAGACCGUUCCUGAAACCAGUAGUGAAGUAUGUUAUUUAAUUCGAUGAUCCGCGAAUAACCUUACCACGUUUUGAAUACUACAGGUGUAUGACCAAUUUAAUUAAAAUUAAAUUUAAUAGUAGUACAAGCGCUGCACGGCUGUCUUUAGUUGAUGUCGUGAGAUUUUGGUUAACUCCUCUAAUUAACGAAAACCCUUGUUUUAUAUGUAUAUAUAAAACAGUUCUCCACUAUAUUGGAUAAGAUAAUAGGGAUUAAGGCAAGUCAUCAUGGCCUUAAU